rnacentral:rRNA from 1 species
AGUGAACGCUGGCGGUAGGCCUAACACAUGCAAGUCGAACGGCAGCACAGUAAGAGCUUGCUCUUACGGGUGGCGAGUGGCGGACGGGUGAGGAAUACAUCGGAAUCUACUUUUUCUUGGGGGAUAACGUAGGGAAACUUACGCUAAUACCGCAUACGACCUACGGGUGAAAGCAGGGGAUCUUCGUACCUUGCGCGAUUGAAUGAGCCGAUGUCGUAUUAGCUAGUUGGAGGGGUAAAGGCCCACCAUGGCGACGAUCCGUAGCUGGUCUGAGAGGAUGAUCAGCCACACUGGAACUGAGACACGGUCCAGACUCCUACGGGAGGCAGCAGUGGGGAAUAUUGGACAAUGGGCGCAAGCCUGAUCCAGCCAUACCGCGUGGGUGAAGAAGGCCUUCGGGUUGUAAAGCCCUUUUGUUGGGGAAGAAAAGCAGCAGGUUAAUACCCCGCUGUUCUGACGGUACCCAAAGAAUAAGCACCGGCUAACUUCGUG